ACCGUGGUAAUUCUAGAGCUAAUACAUGCUUAAACGCCCGACUUUAUGGAAGGGUGGUAUUUAUUAGACUGAAGCCAAUAUUCCUUGUGUCUAUUGCGGUGAUUCAUAAUAACUGAUCGAAUCUCUUUUUGAGAUAAAUCAUUCAAGUUUCUGCCCUAUCAGCUUUCGAUGGUAGUGUAUUGGACUACCAUGGCAGUAACGGGUAACGAAGAAUUAGGGUUCGAUUUCGGAGAGGGAGCAUGAGAAACGGCUACCACAUCUAAGGAAGGCAGCAGGCGCGUAAAUUACCCAAUCCUGACUCAGGGAGGUAGUGACAAGAAAUAGCAAACCGGGAACCUCAUGGUUUCACGGUAUUGCAAUGAGAACAAUUUAAAACCCUUAGCGAGAAUCAAGUGGAGGACAAGUCUGGUGCCAGCACCCGCGGUAAUUCCAGCUCCACUAGCGUAUAUUAAAGUUGUUGCAGUUAAAAAGCUCGUAGUUGAACCUCUGUCUGGGGCUAGUUUUGGCUUUGGUCAGGCUAGUUCUAGGCAUCCGCCUACAAGACUUAGAGGGCAUUCAGUUGUUCACUAGGAGGAGUAGGCAUUUUACUUUGAAAAAAUUAGAGUGUUUAAGGCAGGCAAUCGCCCGCAUAUAUUAGCAUGGAAUAAUAGAAUAGGACACUUUUCCAUUUCGUUGGUUAUUGGAAUCGUGUAAUGAUUAAUAGGGACAGUUGUGGGCAUUUGUAUUUAAUUGUCAGAGGUGAAAUUCUUGGAUUUAUUAAAGACAAACUAACGCGAAAGCAUUUGCCAAGGAUGUUUUCAUUAAUCAAGAACGAAAGUUAGGGGAUCAAAGACGAUCAGAUACCGUCCUAGUCUUAACUAUAAACUAUUCCGACUCAAUGUUUGACUGGCUUAUAUAACCAGUUGAGCGUUGUAUGAGAAAUCAAAGUCUUAGGUUCUGGGGGGAGUAUGGUUGCAAAGCUGAAACUUAAAGGAAUUGACGGAAGAGCACAACCAGGAGUGGAUUCUGCGGCUUAAUUUGACUCAACACGGGGAAACUUACCAGGUUAAAACAAUAGUGGGAUUGACAGUUUGAGAGCGCUUUCUUGAUUGGUUGGGUGGUGGUGCAUGGCCGUUCUUAGUUGGUGGAGUGAUUUGUCUGCUUAAUUGCGUUAACGAACGAGACCUUAACCUGCUUACUAGACUGGCGAUCAUCAAUCGUUAGCUCUACUUAGAGGGACUUUGGUUGUUUUAACUCCAAGGAAGUUUGAGGCAAUAACAGGUCUGUGAUGCCCUUAGAUAUCCUGGGCCGCACGCGUCAUACAAUGACUA
rnacentral:rRNA from 1 species